UACGUAGGGUGCGAGCGUAAUCGGAAUUACUGGGCGUAAAGCGUGCGCAGGCGGUUUUGUAAGCCAGAUGUGAAAUCCCCGGGCUUAACCUGGGAAUGGCAUUUGGGACUGCAAGGCUCGAGUGCGGCAGAGGAGACUGGAAUUCCUGGUGUAGCAGUGAAAUGCGUAGAUAUCAGGAGGAACACCGAUGGCGAAGGCAGGUCUCUGGGCUGACACUGACGCUCAUGCACGAAAGCGUGGGGAGCGAAACAAACGGUUGG
rnacentral:rRNA from 1 species